UACGGGGGGGGCAAGCGUUGUUCGGAAUUACUGGGCGUAAAGGGCUCGUAGGUGGCCAACUAAGUCAGACGUGAAAUCCCUCAGCUUAACUGGGGAACUGCGUCUGGUACUGGAUGGCUUGAGUUUGGGAGAGGGAUGCGGAAUUCCAGGUGUAGCGGUGAAAUGCGUAGAUAUCUGGAGGAACACCGGUGGCGAAGGCGGCAUCCUGGACCAACACUGACACUGAUGAGCGAAAGCCAGGGGAGCAAACGGG
rnacentral:rRNA from 1 species